CGCGGGAGCAUGGAGCCGCGGGCCGGCUGCCGGCUGCCGGUGCGGGUGGAGCAGGUCGUCAACGGCGCGCUGCUGGUCACCGUGAGCUGCGGCGAGCGCAGCUUCGCCGGGAUCCUGCUGGACUGCACGAAAAAUUUCCAUAGCGGGCCGCACAGCACCAGUUUUGGGCCUGACGUCCGUGCAGCGUCUGUGUCAGCCGCUCAGGAAGACCGCCAGGGUAGCCCGGACACCAGCAAGCGUGGCUCUGCGCCGGUCUGGCCUCUUCGGCCUGCCCCUGUCGACUCCACUGCCCCAGCCCGAGGACCCCCCUGUCAACGGCUGCCACGGCCCGGCCCCCACGGAGCAGGACGGAGAGGCGAUGCAGCUGGGGACGGGCCCUCCGCCGCCUCCCUGCGGGGAACAGCCACCCGAGACCUCAGACCCCAAGCCGCCCCCACCCCUUGUGCCACCGUUCCCGCCGUAUUUUGAAGGCGCUCCCUUCCCUCCCCCGCUCUGGCUGAGAAGCACCUACCGGCAGUGGGUACCACAGCCGCCACCCCGGACCAUCAAGAGGACCCGCCGACGCCUGUCCCGUAACCGUGACCCGGGCCGGCUUGCCCUGAGCCCCAUCCGCCUGCGGCCGCGCCAAGUACUCUGUGAGAAGUGCAAGAGCACUCUGAGCCCCCCCGAGGCCAGCCCCGGCCCCCCAGCUGCCCCUCGGCCCCGCCGGAGGGUGGGCAGCGGCCCCGGCCCCGACAGGGAGCCCCGUAAGCUCGAGGACCCUGAUGGCGGAGGGGACGCGGCAGCCACCAGCACGAGGAGAAGCAAGAGGGAAAGGCAGGCGGAGGACAAGGCCCGCGUCCCCCGGAGCCCGGCCAUCAAGAUCUCCUACAGCACGCCGCAGGGCAAAGGCGAGGUGGUGGAGAUCCCCUCCCGCGUGCACGGGUCCCUGGAGCCCUUCUGCCCCUCCCAGGCCCUGCACGGGGGCAGCCAGGACCCUGGUGGGCCCUCCGCCUCUAUCCCCAAGCUGAAGCUGACGCGUCCCGGGCCCCCUGGCACCAACCUGCCGCCCCCCAAGAUCCGCUUGAAGCCCCACCCCCGGGGGGCGGGGGAGCGGGAGCCCGUCUACAAGGCCGAGCUGGUGGAGGCGCUCAAUGGCCACGGGCGAGGCCCCCGGGCCCACGCACCCGCUCUGCUCGGCCACGGCUCUGCCGGCGGUGGGCUGGUGGACUCUUCUUCUGGAAGCUCCGGCGAGGAGGAUGAGGACUUCAAACGGUGUCCCCCGGGUCCGCACGGGCAAGAGAGCCUGGCUCUCCUCGCCACCUGCCCCAGGCGGGGGACCGAGCGCGCGAGCGAGUCGGUGUGGAGCAGCGACAGCCUGGACGAGUCCAAGUCAUCCAGCUCGGAAGUCACAUCCCCAGACACGGGUGACCUGUCGUCAGGCGACGGCACGUCCGCGCGGCCCUCGUCCAAGGACGCGAGGCAGACGGUCCCGCCGCUCACAGUCCGGCUGCACACACAGAGCGUCUCCAAGUGCGUUACUGAGGACGGGAGGACGGUGGCCGUAGGGGACAUCGUGUGGGGUAAGAUUCACGGUUUCCCUUGGUGGCCAGCGCGUGUGCUUGACCUCAGUCUUAGCCAGAAGGAGGACGGGGAGCCCUCUUGGCAAGAAGCCAAAGUCUCGUGGUUUGGUUCUCCGACUACGUCGUUCUUGUCUACUUCAAAACUCUCCCCUUUCUCUGAGUUUUUCAAACUGAGAUUUAACCGUAAGAAGAAGGGGAUGUACCGCAAGGCUAUCACAGAGGCUGCAAACGCCGCGGAGCACGUGGCCCCGGAAAUAAGGGAGCUCUUAACCCAGUUUGAGACCUAACUCAGGCGACCAGGAACGUGCUGAGAAGGGACGAGGGCCCCCCAGCGAGCAUCUGGCGAGGAAGCUGACCUGGACUGGGGAUCCGGGAAGGCUUCCUGGAAGAGGUGACAUAUGGCUGAGCGCGAACGGUCAUCGACGAUGAGAGCACGGCUGUUUGGAGCUUCCGACUUUGGGGGUGCCCUCCACGUCCCCCAUUCCGUCUGAGGGACCCCGCGUGCCUUCUGGCCAGCUGUGUGCAGAACAUGCCCGGCCCGGGGGGGCCGCCUGCUCGUGGUUCCGCAGAGAGGAGGUGUGUCCAGCCCGGAGGACAGCGCCCCCACGAGCACAGCGGUUCCUCUCCGCUGAAUGUAUUUAUUCCCCUCACUCAGACUUCAGUUCUUCUGGUUUGUGAAAUUCCAGGAGCCCAGCCUCACGCCGCUGCCGCCGACUCGUCUGCACCUGCGGGGGCGCCACGGAAUGGGGGCGGGGUGCCCCACGUCGGGCGUCCAGGGCCAGGCCCAGCACGGGGUCUCUGUGCACUUGAGAACCGGGGACCCUGCCUACCCCAUGUCCCUCCCAAAGCCGGGGUCCUGCCAGGUGCCCAGCACCUGCCCUCAGGGGCCGCCGUGCCCCCCACACUGCUGCGCGGCUCCCUAGGCUGUGGGCCUGGGGCAGGCGCCGCUCUGGGAACGUUCAGACUUCCACAGGAAAGCAACCUGGCCCUGUGUUUGUAAGAGCGGACUCCUCUCUCCUUUCUGUCACUUUAAAGACCAAAAAGAGAAAGAAACAGAAAAUGGGUUCUGCUCUUUCUUCGUUUAAACAUGAGCGAGAGUAAAGGGAGGUCUGUGUUGAGGCGCACUCCCGUUGCGUCGCGGGAGGUCGGGCCUGCGGAGGGAUGUGGCAGCUUUGAGAAGC